GUGCUCGCUUUGACAGCACAUAUACUAAAAUUGGAAUGAUACAGAGAAGAUUAGCAUGGUCCUUGCCCAAGGAUGACAAUUCGUGAAGCGUUCCAGAGGAUG